rnacentral:tRNA from 1 species
GGCCCUAUAGCUCAGUUGGUAGAGCAAUCGGCUGUUAACCGAUGUGUCGCAGGUUCGAGCCCUGCUGGGGCCGCCA